rnacentral:rRNA from 1 species
AUACGGAGGGUGCGAGCGUUAUCCGGAUUUAUUAGGUUUAAAGGGUGUGUAGGCGGGAGCCUAAGUCAGUGGUGAAAUCUCACAGCUUAACUGUGAAACUGCCAUUGAAACUGGGUUUCUUGAGUAUAGUUGAGGUAGGCGGAAUGUGUAAUGUAGCGGUGAAAUGCAUAGAUAUUACACAGAACACCGAUUGCGAAGGCAGCUUACUAAGCUAUUACCGACGCUGAUGCACGAAAGCGUGGGUAGCGAACAGGAUUAGAUACCCCAGUAGUCC